rnacentral:misc_RNA from 1 species
UUUUUAAUGAAGCCACAGGCUGUGAGGGUCCUAAGCCCCUAAUUCAGAAGGGAA